AUUGAACGCUGGCGGCAGGCCUAACACAUGCAAGUCGAGCGGGGUUUUCGGACCUAGCGGCGGACGGGUGAGUAAUGCGUAGGAAGCUACCCGAUAGAGGGGGAUACCAGUUGGAAACGACUGUUAAUACCGCAUAAUGUCUACGGACCAAAGUGUGGGACCUUCGGGCCACAUGCUAUCGGAUGCGCCUACGUGGGAUUAGCUAGUUGGUGAGGUAAUGGCUCACCAAGGCGACGAUCCCUAGCUGGUUUGAGAGGAUGAUCAGCCACACUGGAACUGAGACACGGUCCAGACUCCUACGGGAGGCAGCAGUGGGGAAUAUUGGACAAUGGGCGCAAGCCUGAUCCAGCCAUGCCGCGUGUGUGAAGAAGGCCUUCGGGUUGUAAAGCACUUUCAGUAGGGAGGAAGGGGUUGUAGUUAAUAGCUGCAACCUUUGACGUUACUCGCAGAAGAAGCACCGGCUAACUCUGUGCCAGCCGCCGCUGUAAAAC
rnacentral:rRNA from 1 species